ACUACUUUAGUAUAAUUUAAUUAUAUUAGCUUUUCGUGCUAAAUAUACUGCUUUGAGGUAGUAAGUAGUA
rnacentral:tRNA from 1 species